rnacentral:rRNA from 1 species
UACGUAGGGGGCAAGCGUUGUCCGGAUUUAUUGGGCGUAAAGAGCGUGUAGGCGGUCAGGUAGGUCCGUUGUGAAAACUCGAGGCUCAACCUCGAGACGCCGAUGGAAACCAUCUGACUAGAGUCCGGAAGAGGAGAGUGGAAUUCCUGGUGUAGCGGUGAAAUGCGCAGAUAUCAGGAGGAACACCAAUGGCGAAGGCAGCACUCUGGGACGUGACUGACGCUGAGACGCGAAAGCGUGGGAGCAAACAGG